AUUGAACGCUGGCGGCAUGCCUUACACAUGCAAGUCGAACGGCAGCACGGGUGCUUGCACCUGGUGGCGAGUGGCGAACGGGUGAGUAAUAUAUCGGAACGUACCUUAUUGUGGGGGAUAACGCAGCGAAAGCUGUGCUAAUACCGCAUAAUCCCUAAGGGGGAAAGCGGGGGACCGUAAGGCCUCGCGCAAUUAGAGCGGCCGAUACCUGAUUAGCUAGUUGGUGAGGUAAAGGCCCACCAAGGCAACGACCAGUAGCUGGUCUGAGAGGACGAUCAGGCACACUGGGACUGAGACACGGCCCAGACUCCUACGGGAGGCAGCAGUGGGGAAUUUUGGACAAUGGGGGCAACCCUGCUCCAGCAAUGCCGCGUGAGUGAAGAAGGCCUUCGGGUUGUAAAGCUCUUUUGUCAGGGAAGAAACAGCAGCUCUAACACAGUUUGCGAAUGACGGUACCUGAAGAAUAAGCACCGGCUAACUACGUGCCAGCCGCCGCCGUAA
rnacentral:rRNA from 1 species